CCGGAGUGCGUCCCGCCGGGCCCUUGGCGGUGCCCCUGGAGCGCUCCAGGUCGGCGUUCAGGUGCCGGAGACCGAGCGGUGGCGUCGUCUCCUGUUCCCUGUGAGCCCCUCGGGUCCCCACUGCGGCGGUGCUUACGGUAAACCACUGAAGUGAUAAGGAGUAACAGACUCUACCAGCCAGGAAAUGCCUCCAGGGGACAUUUUCUAACAACAACAGACUGAGCAAAAAGGGAGAGAAGCAAAAAGAAGGACCUGGAAUGAAGUGGCCCCUUGGAGCUGACUCCCAUCUUCCCCAUCACUCCCAGCCCUUGUUGAGGAGCCUCUGGCACCACUGAGCCUACAUAUCAAAGGCAGGUCUUUGCGUCCCUAAUCUGUACCUGAAGCUCACUUCUGUUCCUGAGAGGGAAAGCAAAGCCUGUUCAGGAGCACAGGAGCCAUCAUUUCUGGCUGAAUUAGGACCUCAAGGGGGAGCCUCGGAAAAGCCAGCACACAUGCUAAAUUGUAUUGAGAUUACAGAAGACAAAAAGCAGUUACUAUUUUUCAGUCUGAACCAAUGGAACACAAAAUUAUGAUGAAAGGAGGAGCUUCAAGAUGGCAGGAGAGUAAGACGUGGAGAUCACCUUCCUCCCCACAAAUACAUCAGAAAUACAUCUACAUGUGGAACAACUCCUACAGAACACCUACUGAACGCUGGCAGGAGACCUCAGACCUCCCAAAAGGCAAGAAACUCCCCACGUACCUGGGUAGGGCAAAAGAAAAAAGAAAAAACAGAAACAAAAGAAUAGGGAUGGGACCUGCACCAGUGGGAGGGAGCUGUGAAGGAGGAAAGGUUUCCACACACUAGGAAGCCCCUUCAUGGGCGGAGACUGUGGGUGGUGGGGGGAAGCUUCAGAGCCUCGGAGGAGAGCGCAUCAACGGGUGCAGAGGGCAAAGCGGAGAGAUUCCUGCACAGAGGACUGGUGCCGAGCAGCACUCACCAGCCCGAGAGGCUUGUCUGCUCACACGCCAGGGCGGGCGGGGGCUGGGAGCUGAGGCUCGGGCUUCGGAGGUCGGAUCACAGGGAGAGGACUGGGGUUGGCGGCGUGAACACAGCCUGAAGGGGGCUAGUGCGCCACAGCUAGCCAGGAGGGAGUCCGGGAAAAGAUCUGGAGCUGCCGAAGAGGCAAGAGACUUUUUCUUGCCUCUUUGUUUCCUGGUGCGCGAGGAGAGGGGAUUCAGAGAACCGCUUAAAGGAGCUCCAGAGACGGGCGCGAGCUGCGACUAUCAGCGUGGACCCCAGAGACGGGCAUGAGAUGCUAAGGCUGCUGCUGCCGCCACCAAGAAGCCUGUGUGCGAGCACAGGUCACUCUCCACACCUCCCCUCCCAGGAGCCUGUGCAGCCCGCCACUGCCAGGAUUCCGUGAUCCAGGGACAACUUCCCCGGGAGAACGCACGGUGCGCCUCAGGCUGGUGCAACGUCACGCCGGCCUCUGCCGCCGCAGGCUUGCCCCGCAUCCGUACCCCUCCCUCCCCCCCGGCCUGAGUGAGCCAGAGCCCCCGAAUCAGAUGCUCCUUUAACCCCGUCCUGUCUGGAAGGGCAACAGAUGCCCUCAGAUGACCUACACGCAGAGGCAGGUCCAAAUCCAAAGCUGAACCCCAGGAGCUGUGCAAACAAAGAAGAGAAAGGGGAAUCUCUACCAGCAGCCUCAGGAGCAGCGGAUUAAAUCUCCACAAUCAACUUGAUGUACCCUGUAACUGUGGAAUACCUGAAUAGAAAACAAAUCAUCCCAAAUUGAGGAGGUGGACUUUGGGAGCAACGAUAUACUUUUUUUUUCCCCCUUUUUCUCUUUUUGUGAGUGUGUAUGUGUAUGCUUCUGUGUGUGAUUUUGUAUAGCUUUGCUUUUACCAUUUGUCCUAGGGUUCAGUCUCUCCAUCUUUUUUUUUUUAUAGUAUAGUUUUUAGCACUUGUUAUCACUGGUGGAUUUGUGUUUUGGUUUGGUUGCUCUCUUCUUUCUUUUUAUUACUUUAAAAAAUAUAUUUUUUAAUUAUUAUUUUUGUCUUAUUUUAAUAACUUUUUAAUUUUGUUUUAUUUUAUCUUCUUCUUUCUUUCUUUCUUUCUUUCUUUUUCUCCCUUUUAUUCUGAGCUGUGUGGAUGACAGGCUCUUGGUGCUCCAGCCAGGCAUCAGGGCUGUGCCUCUGAGGUGAGAGAGCCAGCUUCAGGACAUUGGUCCACAAGAGACCUCCCAGCUCCACAUAAUAUCAAACGACAAAAAUCUCCCAGACAUCUCCAUCUCAACGCAAGACCCAGCUUCACUCAACGACCAGCAAGCUACAGUGCUGGAUACCCUAUGCCAAACAACUAGCAAGACAGGAACACAACCCCACCCAUUAGCAGAGAGGCUGCCUAAAAUCAUAAUAAGGUUACAGACACCCCAAAACACACCACCAGACGUGGUCCUUCCCACCAGAAAGACAAGAUCCAGGCUCAUCCACCAGAACACAGGCACUAGUCCCCUCCACCAGGAAGCCUACACAACCCACUGAACCAACCUUAGCCACUGGGGGCAGACACCAAAAACAACGGGAACUACGAACCUGCAGCCUGCGAAAAGGAGACCCCAAACACAGUAAGUUAAGCAAAAUGAGAAGAAAGAGAAACACACAGCAGACGAAGGAGCAAGGUAAAAACCCAUCAGACCUAACAAAUGAAGAGGAAAUAGGCAGUCUACCUGAAACAGAAUUCAGAAUAAUGAUAGUAAAGAUAAUCCAAAAUCUUGGAAAUAGAAUGGAGAAAAUAUAAGAAAUGUUUAACAAUGACCUAGAAGAACUAAAGAGCAAACAAACAGUGAUGAACAACACAGUAAAUGAAAAUAAAAUUCUCUAGAAGGGAUCAAUAGCAGAAUAACUGAGGCAGAAAAAUGGAUAAGUGACCUGGAAGAUAAAAUAGUGGAAAUAACUCCUGCAGAGCAGAAUAAAGAAAAAAGAAUGAAAAGAAUUGAAGACAGUCUCAGAGACCUCUGGGAAAACAUUAAAUGCACCAACAUUCAAAUUAUAGGGGUCCCAGAAGAAGAAGAGAAAAAGAAAGGGACUGAGAAAAAAUUUGAAGAGAUUAUAGUUGAAAACUUCCCUAAUACGGGAAAGUUAAUAUUUAAUCAAGUCCAGGAAGCACAGAGACUCCCAUACAGGGUAAAUCCAAGGAGAAACACACCAAGACACAUAUUAAUCAAACUAUCAAAAAUUAAAUACAAAGAAAAAAUAUUAAAAGCAGCAAGGGAAAAACAACAAAUAACAUACAAGGAAAUCCCCAUAAGCUUAACAGCUGAUCUUUCAGCAGAAACUCUGCAAGCCAGAAGGGACUGGCAGGAGAUAUUUUAAGUGAUGAAGGGGAAAAACCUACAACCAAGAUUACUCUACCCAGCAAGGAUCUCAUUCAGAUUUGACAGAGAAAUUAAAACCUUUACAGACAAACAAAAGCUAAGGGAAUUCAGCACCACCGAACCAGCUUUACAACAAAUGCUAAAGGAACUUCUCUAGGCAGGAAACACAAGAGAAGGAAAAGACCUACAAUAACAAACCCAAAACAAUUAAGAAAAUGGGAAUACAUAUUGAUAACGACCUUAAAUGUAAAUGCAUUAAAUGCUCCAACCAAAAGACAUAGACUGGCUGAAUGGAUACAAAAACAAGACCCGUAUACAUGUUGUCUACAAGAGACCCACUUCAGACCUAGGGACACAUAAGACUGAAAGUGAGGGGAUGGAAAAAGAUAUUCCAUGCAAAUGGAAAUAGAAAGCUGGAAAAGCAAUUCUCAUAUCAGACACAAUAUACUUUAAAACAACGACUAUUACAAGAGACAAAGAAGGACACUACAUGAUGAUGAAGGGAUCAAUCCAAGAAGAAGAUAUAACAAUUGUAAAUAUUUAUGCACCCAACAUAGGAGCACCUCAAUACAUAAGGCAAAUACUAACAGCCAUAAAAGGGGAAAUCAACAGUAACACAAUCAUAAUAGGGGGCUUUAACACACCGCUUUCACCAAUGGACAGAUCAUCCAAAAUGAAAAUAAAUAAGGAAACACAAGCUUUAAAUGAAACAUUAAACAAGAUGGACUUAAUUGAUAUUUAUAGGACAUUCCAUCCAAAAACAACAGAAUACACUUUCUUCUCAAGUGCUCAUGGAACAUUCUGCAGGAUAGAUCAUAUCUUACGUCACAAAUCAAGCCUUGGUAAAUUUAAGAAAAUUGAAAUCGUAUCAAGUAUCUUUUCCAACCACAACGCUAUGUGACUAGAUAUGAAUUAGAGGAAAAAAUCUGUAAAAAAUACAAACACAUGGAAGCUAAACAAUACACUACUUAAUAACCAAGAGAUAACUGAAGAAAUCAAAGAGGAAAUAAAAAAAUACCUAGAAACAAAUGACAAUGAAAACACGACGACCCAAAACCUAUGGGAUGCAGCAAAAGCAGUUCUAAGAGGGAAGUUUAUAGCAAUACAAGCCUAGCUUAAGAAAGAAGAAACAUCUCAAAUAAACAACCUAACUGUACACCUAAAGCAAUUAGAGAAAGAAAAACAAAAACACCCCAAAGUUAGCAGAAGGAAAGAAAUCAUAAAGAUCUGAUCAGAAAUAAAUGAAAAACAAAUGAAGGAAACGAUAGCAAAGAUCAAUAAAACUAAAAGCUGGUUCUUUGAGAAGAUAAACAAAAUUGAUAAACCAUUAGCCAGACUCAUCAAGAAAAAAAGGGAGAAGACUCGAAUCAAUAGAAUUAGAAAUGAAAAAGGAGAAGUAACAACUGACACUGCAGAAAUACAAAGGAUUAUGAGAGAUUACUACAAGCAACUCUAUGCCAAUAAAAUGGACAACCUGGAAAAAAUGGACAAAGUCUUAGAAAUGCACAACUUCCGAGACUGAACCAGGCAGAAAUAGAAAAUAUGAAGAGACCAAUCACAAGCACUGAAAUUAAAAAUGUGAUUAAAAAUCUUCCAAGAAACAAAAGCCCAGGACCAGAUGGCUUCACAGGCAAACUCUAUCAAACAUUUAGAGAAGAGUUAACACCUAUCCUUCUCAAACUCUUCCAAAAUAUAGCAGAGGGAUGAACACUCCCAAACUCAUUCUACGAGGCCACCAUCACCCUGAUACCAAAACCAGACAAAGAUGUCACAAAGAAAGAAAACUACAGGCCAAUAUCACUGAUGAACAUAGAUGCAAAAAUCCUCAACAAAAUACUAGCAAACAGACUCCAACAGCACAUUAAAAGGAUCAUACACCAUGAUCAGAUGGGGUUUAUUCCAGGAAUGCAAGGAUUCUUCAAUAUACGCAAGUCAAUCAAUGUGAUACACCAUAUUAACAAACUGAGGAGAAAAACCAUAUGACCAUCUCAAUAGAUGCAGAGAAAGCUUUCGACAAAAUUCAACACCCAUUUAUGAUAAAAACCCUCCAGAAAGCAGGCAUAGAGGGAACUUACCUCAACAUAAUAAAGGCCAUAUAUGACAAACCCACAGCCAACAUCGUUCUCAAUCGUGAAGAACUGAAACCAUUUCCUCUAAGAUCAGGAACAAGACAAGGUUGCCCCCUCUCACUGCUAUUAUUCAACAUAGUUUUGGAAGUGUUAGCCACAGCAAUCAGAGAAGAAAAAGAAAUAAAAGGAAUCCAAAUCGGAAAAGAAGAAGUAAAGCUGUCACUGUUUGCAGAUGACAUGAUACUAUACAUAGAGAAUCCUAAAGAUGCUACCAGAAAACUCCUAGAGCUAAUCAAUGAAUUUGGUAAAGUAGCAGGAUACAAAAUUAAUGCACAGAAAUCUCUUGCAUUCCUAUACACUAAUGAUGAAAAGUCUGAAAGUGAAAUUAAGAAAACACUCCCAUUUACCAUUGCAAUGAAAAGAAUAAAAUAUCUAGGAAUAAACCUACCUAAGGAGACAAAAGACCUGUAUGCAGAAAACUAUAAGACACUGAUGAAAGAAAUUAAAGAUGAUACAAAUAGAUGGAGAGAUAUACCAUGUUCUUGGAUUGGAAGAAUCAACAUUGUGAAAAUGACUAUACUACCCAAAGCAAUCUACAGAUUCAAUGCAAUCCCUAUCAAACUACCAAUGGCAUUUUUCACAGAACUAGAACAAAAAAUUUCACAAUUUGUAUGGAAACACAAAAGACCCCGAAUAGCCAAAGCAAUCUUGAGAAAGAAAAAUGGAGCUGGAGGAAUCAGGCUCCUGGACUUCAGCCUAUACUACAAAGCUACAGUAAUCAAGACAGUAUGGUACUGACACAAAAACAGAAAUAUAGAUCAAUGGAACAGGAGAGAAAGCCCAGAGAUAAACCCACGCACAUAUGGUCACCUUAUCCUUGAUAAAGGAGGCAAUAAUAUACAAUGGAGAAAAGACAGCCUCUUCAACAAGUGGUGCUGGGAAAACUGGACAGCUACAAGUAAAAGAAUGAAAUUAGAACACUCCCUAACACCAUACACAAAAAUAAACUCAAAAUGGAUUAAAUGGAUUAAAUGUAAGGCCAGACACUAUCAAACUCUUAGAGGAAAACAUAGGCAGAACACUCUAUGACAUAAAUCACAGCAAGAUCCUUUUUGACCCACCUCCUGAGAAAUGGAAAUGAAAACAAACAAAUGGGACCUAAUGAAACUUAAAAGCUUUUGCAUAGCAAAGGAAGUCAUAAACAAGACGAAAAGACAACCCUCAGAAUGGGAGAAAAUAUUUGCAAAUGGAGCAACUGACAAAGGAUUAAUCUCCAAAAUUUACAAGCAGCUCAUGCAGCUCAAUAUCAAAAAAAUAAACAACCCAAUCCAAAAAUGGGCAUAAGACCUAAAUACUUUUCUCCAAAGAUGAUAUACAGAUUGCCAACAAACACAUGAAAGAAUGCUCAACAUCAUUAAUCAUUAGAGAAUUGCAAAUCAAAACUACAAUGAGAUAUCAUCUCACACCAGUCAGAAUCACCAUCAUCAAAAAAUCUACAAACAAUAAAUGCUGGAGAGGGUGUGGAGAAAAGGGAACCCUGUUGCACUGUUGGUGGGAAUGUAAAUUGAUACAGCCACUAUGGAGAACAGUAUGGAGGUUCCUUAAAAAACUACAAAUAGAACUACCAUACGACCCAGCAAUCCCACUACUGGGCAUAUACCCUGAGAAAACCAUAAUUCAAAAAGAGUCAUGUACCACAAUAUUCAUUGCAGCUCUAUUUACAAUAGCCAGGACAUGGAAGCAACCUAAGUGUCCAUCAUCGGAUGAAUGGAUAAAUAAGAUGUGGCACAUAUAUACAAUGGAAUAUUAUUCAGCCAUAAAAAGAAACGAAAUUGAGUUAUGUGUAGUGAGGUGGAUGGACCUAGAGUCUGUCAUAUGGAGUGAAGUAAGUUAGAAAGAGAAAAACAAAUACCAUAUGCUAACACAUAUAUAUGGAAUCUAAAAAAAAAAGAAAAAUUGUCAUGAAGGACCUAGGGGCAAGACGGAAAUAAAGACGCAGACCUACUGGAGAAUGGACUUGAGGAUACGGGGAGGGGGAAGGGUAAGCUGGGACGAAGUGAGAGAGUGGCAUGGACAUAUACACACUACCAAAUGUAAAAUAGAUAGCUAGUGGGAAGCAGCCUCAUAGCACAGGGAGAUCAGCUUGGCGCUUUGU